GACGAACGCUGGCGGCGUGCCUAAUACAUGCAAGUAGAACGCUGAAGGAGGAGCUUGCUUCUCUGGAUGAGUUGCGAACGGGUGAGUAACGCGUAGGUAACCUGCCUGGUAGCGGGGGAUAACUAUUGGAAACGAUAGCUAAUACCGCAUAAGAGUAGAUGUUGCAUGACAUUUGCUUAAAAGGUGCAAUUGCAUCACUACCAGAUGGACCUGCGUUGUAUUAGCUAGUUGGUGGGGUAACGGCUUACCAAGGCGACGAUACAUAGCCGACCUGAGAGGGUGAUCGGCCACACUGGGACUGAGACACGGCCCAGACUCCUACGGGAGGCAGCAGUAGGGAAUCGUCGGCAAGGGACGGAAGUCUGACCGAGCAACGCCGCGGGAGUGAAGAAGGUCUUCGGAUCGGAAAGCUCGGUUGUAAGAGAAGAACGAGUGUGAGAGUGGAAAGUUCACAGUGUGACGGUAUCUUACCAGAAAGGGACGGCUAACUACGUG
rnacentral:rRNA from 1 species